ensembl:snRNA U1 U1 spliceosomal RNA
AGACUUACCUGGUGGGGGGGAGAUACCGUGGUCAAGGAGGUCGUUUUCCCAGGGCAAGGCUUACCUAUUGCACUCGGGAUACGCUGAUCCCUAUGAUUUCCCCAAAUGCGGAGAACUGGACUGCACAAUUUGUGGCACUGGGGGACUAUGUUCUCGGUCUCCCACA